rnacentral:rRNA from 1 species
GUGUCAGCCGCCGCGGUAACACGUAGGGGGCGAGCGUUGUCCGGAUUCACUGGGCGUAAAGAGCUCGUAGGCGGCUCGGUAAGUCGGGUGUGAAACCUCCAGGCUCAACCUGGAGACGCCACUCGAAACUGCCGUGGCUAGAGUCCGGUAGGGGAGCGUGGAAUUCCUGGUGUAGCGGUGAAAUGCGCAGAUAUCAGGAGGAACACCAGUAGCGAAGGCGGCGCUCUGGGCCGGUACUGACGCUGAGGAGCGAAAGCGUGGGGAGCAAACAGGAUUAGAUACCCUGGUAGUCCACGCCGUAAACGUUGGGCACUAGGUGUGGGGCUCUGUCAACGGGCUCCGUGCCGAAGCUAACGCAUUAAGUGCCCCGCCUGGGGAGUACGGCCGCAAGGCUAAAACUUAAAGGAAUUGGCGGGG